rnacentral:misc_RNA from 1 species
GAACUGCGAUAAGUAAUGUGAAUUGCAGAAUUCAGUGAAUCAUCGAGUCUUUGAACGCACAUUGCGCCCCCUGGCAUUCCGGGGGGCAUGCCUGUCCGAGCGUCAUUGCUGCCCUUCAAGCCCGGCUUGUGUGUUGGGUCGUCGUCCCCUCCGGGGGACGGGCCCGGAAGGCAGCGGCGGCACCGCGUCCGGUCCUCGAGCGUAUGGGGCUUUGUCACCCGCUCGAUAAGGACCGGCCGGGCGCCAGCCGGCGUCUCCAACCUUUUUUUCUCAGGUUGACCUCGGAUCAGGUAGGGAUACCCGCUGAACUUAAGC